rnacentral:snRNA from 1 species
UUGCUUGCUUUGACAGCACAUAUACUAAAAUCAGAAUAAUACAGAGAAGAUGAGCAUGGUCCCUGCACAAGGAUGACAUGCAAAUUUGUGAAGCAUUCCAUAUUUUU